CUGGCCGAGUCAGACGGGGGUCUGCAGACGGCACCUCCACCGGGCCGCAGUUCUCGACAGGAGACGGGGACCUGCGUGGAGACGUCGUUCUGCCAGCCCGCGCCCGCGGCGGCACCGUCCGGAGCGGCGAGCGGUCCGCCUGAGGCCGCGACGCCGGCGCUCAACAACAACAAAUACUGCGGUCGCGCCGGCGACCGGCGACCCGCCGACCGCUCGCGCAGAAACGACGGGUUUGAAUCGGAGUGGCGCGACCGCAGUCGGGAACUGAGCAGUAUCUGAACCCGACGUAAGGACAGAAUCUGAGCAGCAUCUGAACCGUACGACGGGACCGAAUCUCGGCGGUACCUGGGCCGCACAGCAGUCUCUGAGGCCCGCCGCCAGCUCGGAGCUCAGAGGUCUCUGAGCCACCUCGCCAAAGUGGAAAAAAUUAAACGGUCUCUGAGACACUAAAUAUUCGCAAGCAUAGUGGCGUCACCCAGAGACGAGCUCAGCACUACGGCUUCACAUUUAUGAGCGUCGACGGAGACUGGGCGGCAGCGAAGCCGGGCGGGUGUCAUAUGGUGCUCAAUGACGCUGGAAAGUUCCAGAGGGUCACGCGACGUGGCACACGGCGUCGUUUGCAAACCCAGUGCCCAGUGUGCGGCUCUAUCAGAGACGGCCGCGCGCGGGCGCUCGGCUCGAGACACGCUCGUGAGUGGGUGCGCUCCGCACCGCCUGCUGAGUUUAACCUCAGUGGGGGCGCGUGUCGCAAGCAAAGUCCCGCCCUCUGCAUGGGCCACGCCGCCACCGGUGUGGGUCGGCGCUACCGGGGCGCCGUAGGAGAGCAGAUAAGCGGGUUAUUAAGCCGUAAUGGGAAUGCACUCAUGGAGGCCGGAACGGUAUUAGUCUUGCCCCGGCGGCACGCUAUCUUGAUUGUGCGUUGGCUCUGAAGUGCUGAUGGUCGUGAUCUUUGGAGGAGUUUGCUUCAACAGAUAACGUCCAUGACGUUUCACUCUCACUCCCGUGUAUCUGAGUUUCAGCGUCUUGUCAGCCCACGAGGCGUCGAUGCCAGGCUCGGCCUCCCGCAGAUGAAACUGGCCCGCGCCGAUAAAUCCAGCCUAUCCAGUUUGCGCUAUCAGUUUAACUACAUCUUGGUUAAAGUUUCCACUUCACACGGCGUCAAGUCUAUGUAGCUCUUCAUAAACCGAUUUGCUCAGAAUUCGUUCUAGUGCAAUCCAUCGAUCACGAAUCCAGUCUGCUCUAAAAUGCGCUUUUUGCACAAACUCCCUAAGCCGAGCCUUCACAAUCCCUCUCAGCGAAAAUAUUUCCCGGAAUGAUCCGUCCAUUUCACCAUACCCUAUCCAGUUGAAGACAGGUGUUGAAUGUAGCGCAUGGACACGUUCACUAUUUCAUAACUCAACAUUUAGAACUUUCUCUCUUUUUCAAUGUUUUAGUAUUGGCUAGCGUUUAAGUUAACCCAAUCCUAUUCGAUUUAAUCUCGGAUUCAUUCAACCCAUAAAUAGCUCUGGAGGGCAUCAAUCUAUUACAUCGUCCUCACAGGCCUUAGAGGUAAAGGUGAAGAAGCUCGGCGCUCUCCAUUCUGCAUGACACCUUUGCCGUGCUGUGUGACACAUUUCUUGUGUUUUAGUUGUCCUUGAGGUGCUAUUUGUUAGUUAACUUACUGACGGCAAUGUAAUGAAUAUCACUAAUGUUUGACAUAAUUCCGAAGGAUAUCUGAAGCCGGCGUCACAUUAGGUCAGGCAAUGACGUUGGUCGCCAAAUUGGCAAACGAAGUCCUUACACCAUGCACAAAGGUGCGUGUUAUGUGCCGCUGUUAAAAUCACGCCAUUCUGGAGGGGGGGGGGGAUCACCUCAACGUAAGUCUUUAAUUGACCCCGGAGUAACCCAGCUUGACCUUUUGUACUUGCCUAGAUCAUGGCACUGUGUGCACUGUUGUAAAAUCUCAAAUGUAUUCCGCUGUACGUGACUUAAGCGGACAAAAGUCGAUCUUUUAAACAUAUUCUGCGGUACUAAAUAACGUCAUCCUCUGGCUCUGGCAACAUGCCCUGCAAAGUUGGAUACAAGAGACCUCUAAAUCUAGCGAAAUUUGGUGUGGGGCCCGAUGCGUGGUCCACGUUGGCAAACGGGUUGCCUACAAUGUGCCGCAUUCACUCGUAAAAAUGGUAAAGCAAUGUAAUCUGGUGCGGAAAACUGAAAUAAAAACUGAAUCCCGAGCCAUAAAGCUGCCAUUGCAAUCAUUUUUAUCGACAGGAAUUUACUUUUUCAUUAUCACAGCCACCACCGAUCCCAAUUUUUCAGUGUUUACUCAUCUGACGAAGGGUAAGUCAUUUUGCCACAUGCUGUCUACGAAACUUGUCAGAUCGAACCCCUGUGUGCAUUACCCGAGCGUGCUUUAUAUUUCUAACGUCCUAUAAGACAGCUAUGCGUUUAUUGCAUGACAGACCUGGCUGAUUCCCCCGCUAGACCUGACUGCCACAUGCUCGUACGCGUGCUGCUUUAUCGGGGGAGUAUGGAAUCCAGUUUGUUUGAAUCCAAAAUUGUUUUAUGUGCACAGUCAUGCAUGGAUCGUGCACGCUUAGUGAUGGGUGUGGGGCCCCGCUGUUUGUGGUGCUGGUGUCAGAUGACACUGGUCCAUUCCCGGUUCAACUGUUGUUUUGUGGUAUUUAUAUAUGUUUAUGAGGGUACCUGUUUGUAUAAGCGUCACAUUUGGUGCGUUCUUCCUCCAUUCAUGGGAUGCAUUGUCAAAAGUUCGCGUGUGAGCUCAAUGAUGAUGUAGGCUCGUGUUGGACGAUCUGAGCCGAGUGUUGAAAUGCUACAUUACCUGUCGGAUAAUGACCAGCGCGUACACUCGCUGAAUAAACGACCGUUUUCCGAA
rnacentral:lncRNA from 1 species